CAAAGCUUUUGAGUGCACAUACUGUCAUGCCACACCUUAUCAACCUUUGAACUAUCCUAUUCCUCUAUGCAAAGAAGAAGCGUCUUAAACAUUGUGCUUUGGUCCAAUUCUGUUACUAGUGCUACUACUGCACAGUUAAAUCACUUGCAUGUUCCAACACCACAUCCACUUACAGUAAAUUAUCUUGCUGAACUAAUUAAGAAAAGUGCUGAUCUGAUGAUGCAACUCAUAUCCGGGGUUGGACGUACGAAUAUCGGUUUAAGCAGGUCAACUGUGCAGCUCCAGGCCAUACAGACUAUUGGGACAGGCGGUAAAGCAGGUAAGGCGGUAAGGGACAUUGCUGUUGGGAUCAUAUCUUCGAAAGCCUUUGCAUCUCUUGACAUGUCGACUUAUGUGAACAUCAAAUGUUCUCAUCCCACUUAAAGUUUCAGAUUCUCCGCUACCUUAAAGGUGCUUAUUAAUGGGCUACACUUCUCUUGUGUGGAAGUAUGGGGUUAUUCAGAUGCUAACCGGAGUAGCUACUUGACUAAUCGGCGUUCUACGAUGCGAUUAUUGUUUCUUUCUUGGCUCAUGUUGGUGCAGAAAAAUCUUUAACAUAGUAACAGGUUCUGAAUAUAGUGCUUUUGCCGAGACUAAAAAACUCAUUUGGUUUUGGUAGUUUCCUUCAUUCAUGUGUACUUCCUAGACCUCUGUGACUGUCGUAUAGCCAGAGUGCUAUACAAAUUUCUAAAAUGAUGUGUUUCAUAAAUGAAAAAAAACACAUUGAGA